rnacentral:rRNA from 1 species
AUGAACGCUAGCUACAGGCUUAACACAUGCAAGUCGAGGGGCAGCAUGGUCUUAGCUUGCUAAGGCCGAUGGCGACCGGCGCACGGGUGAGUAACACGUAUCCAACCUGCCGUCUACUCUUGGACAGCCUUCUGAAAGGAAGAUUAAUACAAGAUGGCAUCAUGAGUCCGCAUGUUCACAUGAUUAAAGGUAUUCCGGUAGACGAUGGGGAUGCGUUCCAUUAGAUAGUAGGCGGGGUAACGGCCCACCUAGUCUUCGAUGGAUAGGGGUUCUGAGAGGAAGGUCCCCCACAUUGGAACUGAGACACGGUCCAAACUCCUACGGGAGGCAGCAGUGAGGAAUAUUGGUCAAUGGGCGAGAGCCUGAACCAGCCAAGUAGCGUGAAGGAUGACUGCCCUAUGGGUUGUAAACUUCUUUUAUAAAGGAAUAAAGUCGGGUAUGGAUACCCGUUUGCAUGUACUUUAUGAAUAAGGAUCGGCUAACUCCGUGCCAGCAGCCGCGGUAAUACGGAGGAUCCGAGCGUUAUCCGGAUUUAUUGGGUUUAAAGGGAGCGUAGAUGGAUGUUUAAGUCAGUUGUGAAAGUUUGCGGCUCAACCGUAAAAUUGCAGUUGAUACUGGAUAUCUUGAGUGCAGUUGAGGCAGGCGGAAUUCGUGGUGUAGCGGUGAAAUGCUUAGAUAUCACGAAGAACUCCGAUUGCGAAGGCAGCCUGCUAAGCUGCAACUGACAUUGAGGCUCGAAAGUGUGGGUAUCAAACAGGAUUAGAUACCCUGGUAGUCCACACGGUAAACGAUGAAUACUCGCUGUUUGCGAUAUACGGCAAGCGGCCAAGCGAAAGCGUUAAGUAUUCCACCUGGGGAGUACGCCGGCAACGGUGAAACUCAAAGGAAUUGACGGGGGCCCGCACAAGCAGUGGAUUAUGUGGUUUAAUUCGAAGCAACGCGAAGAACCUUACCAGGGCUUGACAUCUAACAAACACUUGUGAAAGCGAGUGGUGCUCUUCGGAGAAUGUUAAGACAGGUGGUGCACGGUUGUCGUCAGCUCGUGUCGUGAGAUGUUGGGUUAAGUCCCGCAACGAGCGCAACCCUCGCCCUGUGUUGCCAGCACGUCAUGGUGGGAACUCACGGGGGACCGCCGGGGUCAACUCGGAGGAAGGUGGGGAUGACGUCAAAUCAGCACGGCCCUUACGUCCGGGGCUACACACGUGUUACAAUGGGGGGUACAGAGGGCCGCUACCACGCGAGUGGAUGCCAAUCCCAAAAACCUCUCUCAGUUCGGACUGGAGUCUGCAACCCGACUCCACGAAGCUGGAUUCGCUAGUAAUCGCGCAUCAGCCACGGCGCGGUGAAUACGUUCCCGGGCCUUGUACACACCGCCCGUCAAGCCAUGGGAGCCGGGGGUACCUGAAGUGCGUAACCGCGAGGAGCGCCCUAGGGUAAAACUGGUGACUGGGGCU